rnacentral:rRNA from 1 species
UACAGAGGGUGCAAGCGUUAAUCGGAAUUACUGGGCGUAAAGCGCGCGUAGGUGGUUUGUUAAGUUGAAUGUGAAAUCCCCCGGGCUCAACCUGGGAACUGCAUCCAAAACUGGCAAGCUAGAGUAGGGCAGAGGGUGGUGGAAUUUCCUGUGUAGCGGUGAAAUGCGUAGAUAUAGGAAGGAACACCAGUGGCGAAGGCGACCACCUGGGCUCAUACUGACACUGAGGUGCGAAAGCGUGGGGAGCAAACAGG